UGGUAGUCUAAAAAAUGCAAAAGCUCUAGUGGCCUGUGUCAACAACUGUACCGAAGAUGAUGCAAAAAUACUUUUUCCUCUGCUCAUUUGUACUGUCUUCACAAAAAAAGGCAGCUUUGGAUUCCUACCCAGUUUUAUGCUAAAGUGUUUUUUUUGUUUGGUUUUUUUUUUUUUCCUCUCUCACGUGGAUGUCAGCUGCCACCAUUUCACUGUGAUUGCCCUUUCUUCUGCCAUGAAAGUACAAGACAGAUGGAAAGAUUCCGUAGCAGUCUGCAAGUACAAGGUACGCCUACGAUGUGUGUCUGCAUUUUUCCGAAGGUACUUGUAGUAUGGACUUUAAAGUUAACAUUAAGAAUGUGCCAACUCUCCUUCCACAUUUUUUCUGUGAAAUAUUUUAAUACGAAUACUAAAACUAAGGUCUGUUCUGGAGCACGUUACGCCUAUGCAGUUUACUUCCCUCCGUCUAUUUCCUCUUCCUGAAAGCAUAUAAUCUUCUGUUUCUGUGCGCUUACUAGUAAAUGAUACUGUGAAAACAAUUUUGUACUAAAAGAGAGAAGAAACUGUUCGUAAGAGUUCAGCUGUUCAGAAGAAACGGACUUUGUUUUCAUGAUAAAAGCUUUAUGCUUUUGCAGUCAAUGAGUUUUUAAAAUAUCUUAUAAGAGUACUCGAAAACCUUACUGAGAUAACUAGCACCUGUACUAAAAGCAAUCAAGGUCAAAGAAGAGACGUGGACAAACUGAUGUCGCUUCUGUGUGUUUUCCAGGUUUUCCCAGGAAGCAUUAGCAGCCUUGUAACUAGUGACAGUGAGUCCUGAGGUGGUUUUGUUUUCCACUUCACUUUCAGCUUUAUUCACCAAACAAGCAAGAGGCAAAGCAGCAGCGCAAGGGCUGUAGCUGUUGUGGUGGAUCCAUAAGCGUAGAUUCUGAUUGUGUACAGCCUCGUCCCGCAGCCUCCCGGGGAUAUCUCCCUGCAGCAGCGCUGUAAGGAAGGGAGGAGACGUUUUCCAACACUGGCAAGAGUGUUUACUUGUAUGCUAAGAAGGUGUUCAAAAUCAUAUCAAUUAGCCUAAAUGCUGACUUUAAGUGUUCAAAUCAGUCUUAACUUUUAAAGGAGGUGUUGUAUUUCGAGCUGACCUGUUUACCUGGAAUCCUCCUUUAGCUCAGCGACUCUUCUUGUGCACCCCCAGCCUCUGCUGGCAGGGCGGUAUGAGAAGCUGGAAAGUCCUUGACUUACUUAGUAUAAACACUGCUUAGCACCAACUAAAGCAUCGGUGUGUUGUCAACAUUAUUCUCAUCCUAAAUCCAAAAUGGCCCUGUACCAGCUACUCAGAAGAAAAUUAACUUUAUUCCAGCCGAAACCAGGACAACCCCAAACCCCCUGAUUCUGGGUCUGCAAC